CCUACGGUGCGCAGCAGUGGGGAAUAUUGGACAAUGGGCGAAAGCCUGAUCCAGCCAUGCCGCGUGUGUGAAGAAGGCCUUCGGGUUGUAAAGCACUUUCAGUGGGGAAGAAAGCCUUGGGGCUAAUACCCUCGAGGAAGGACAUCACCCACAGAAGAAGCACCGGCUAACUCCGUGCCAGCAGCCGCGGUAAUACGGAGGGUGCGAGCGUUAAUCGGAAUUACUGGGCGUAAAGCGCGCGUAGGCGGUCUGAUAAGCCGGUUGUGAAAGCCCCGGGCUCAACCUGGGAACGGCAUCCGGAACUGUCAGGCUAGAGUGCAGGAGAGGAAGGUAGAAUUCCCGGUGUAGCGGUGAAAUGCGUAGAGAUCGGGAGGAAUACCAGUGGCGAAGGCGGCCUUCUGGACUGACACUGACGCUGAGGUGCGAAAGCGUGGGUAGCAAACAGGAUUAGAUACCCUGGUAGUC
rnacentral:rRNA from 1 species